AUCUGUUUGCAGAUAAGCUGGGAACACCAGUAGGUUAUUGAAUCCGUAGUCAAGCUGUGCGUGUAUCUGGAUUGGAGCUCUAGCGGAUUGUUGAUUACUUAUCUUCCGGUGUACUUAUUCCUUUGACAAACAAGUCUCCCCUCUUUCCAAUCUCUGUUCGCCCAUUUCAUUAGACGAAUCUGCUGUUUGCUUCAUCAAUCGAUUCAUUCAAAAUUCAUCAAUGAUGCAUAAAAGUAUGCGGCGAGAAAAAUGCCAAAUAUCUCCAAUAGGUGACGCCCAGCGAAGGCGAGUUGUCAACUUCUGGCACGUCCUCAAUUGCCAAUGUUGCUCCUGCUGCUGCCGAAUCCUGUUGUUGUCAUCAGUAUAAUUUGCUUUCAAAUGAAACUUUGGGCUAGGCCCCCGAGACACAACUCAACUUGGGGACCCAACGACACUCUGAGCAGUGGUACACUUAGCCCGAUUUAUUUGGUACACGGAGAAAAAAUCUUAAUGUAUUGGUUUAAUCCAGCCCAUUCU
ensembl:ncRNA lncRNA:CR44559 long non-coding RNA:CR44559